rnacentral:rRNA from 1 species
CAAUAGCGUAUAUUAAAGUUGUUGCAGUUAAAAAGCUCGUAGUUGGAUUUCUGGUUGAAGCGACCGGUCGGGCGUUGAUUCGUCUGCACUGGAGUCGGUUUUGGCCAUCCUCUAGGAAAGUGCGUCUGGUAUUAAGUUAUCGGGCGUAUGAUCCUGGUCUUUUACUGUGAAAAAAUUAGAGUGUUUAAAGCAGGCCUUCGCCUUGAAUACAUUAGCAUGGAAUAAUAAGAUAGGACUUUGGUCUAUUUUGUUGGGUUGCAGACCGAAGUAAUGAUUAAUAGGGAUAGUUGGGGGUAUUUAUAUUCCGAUGUCAGAGGUGAAAUUCUUAGAUUUUCGGAAGAUAAACUUAUGCGAAAGCAUUUACCAAGGAUGUUUUCAUUAA